AUUAUAAAAGGGAAGAGGUCAAAGCAACAAAGCAAAAUUCAACAGCUAAGAGAAACCCCUCGAUCUGAGCCCUACAUUUACAGGAAUAAUGGUUACUGCUAAAGUCUGACAGGAACCGACAGUCUGGUCCAGUGAAAUCACUUGAUGCUUUCCCCCGGCACAGGAGCACUGUGGAGAGGAAGGAUUCACCGAUCAGUUGUUGUGGGAAUGUCACCCACACCAAACAUCUCAUCCAAUGACCCAGCCAUGGACAGUCUUUGGGCAUCCACAUUUAGUGCCCCAUGCACAAUCAGGGUGUAAAUACACAUCCCUAAGAAUAUGACAUAUUGUGGGAUUUCACAUAAUUGUCUACGAAAUGGGUCGAACUUCAAACUGUGUCAUGGAUGAUCUUGAUUCAGAACUGAGGUUGCCAGGAGAACUGUGCGAAAAUGACUCUUCAGAUGAUGAAUCAAUCAACAGAAAACGAAUCAAGCAGCCAAACCUCCCUCGGAGCCAACUAUAUUUAAAGAGACACACCGUGAGACUGGUUUUCACAAGACCACAAUGAACUGCCUCCAGCACAUCAAGGAGGCCCUCCUACACUAUAGAUGGCAGGAAGCUGCUGAGUACAUGUCCAGUUACUCACGAACACUGGAGGACAUACGACAACGCUACGCUGAGUCUUUCAGAUAAUUUGGAGGACAAGCACAGUUACUACACCACAGUUCCAUCUCGAAGCUGCAAGACUACAACAGUUUCUAUGCGUGAGUGAAACACUCAGGAGUAAAACAUUACCUGAAGUAGAUCUGUCUGGAACACUCGUUUCACCUGGUGAACGGGCAGUUUGAGUACGCCAAGCGUCAGCUGUCCAUCGCUGAGAGCUGGAGGUACGGCAAGCAGUCAGCUGAUCAGUCCCAGCGGAUUAAGCUGAUCCAGUCCUACAGUGGCUUCCUGGAUUGCUUCAUCUGGUGUGGGGGGGGAGGAAGAAGGAAAAAAAGAUCACCGUCUCCAACACCGAGAGGGUGAUCUUCAGAAGGCUCUAGGUGUGGUUCUGGAUCUCCUGGACUUAUCCAGUUGGAGGAGAAACUUGGAUGUCUGGAACCAUUUGAUGACUAUCGUCAAGAGGCUGAGGCUCAGAUUGUUGCAGAGGAGUUGGUGAACAGAAAGGACUAGUGGCUAGCAAUGCACUUCACAACAUUCCAGGCCAGGAGAGACUUGGUAGUGAAUGGGGUGCUACUGGAAGUGAAGCGCUUUGUGCUUGGAGCCUUUUGUCCUCGCUAUGCCUUCAUGUACCGUGGUGUAGGUAAGGACACCCAAAAAGGACUUACUUCCGAGGCGCAGAAGACUAAAAGGUCCAAGAAGGAUAAGGAAUCCAAGACGGCUAAUGCUCAGAAGAGAAUGCGGAAAGCAAAGCCCAGACUGACUCACUCUCCUUGCAUUGCUUUACUUCUCAAGUUCUGCGAUUGUCCACCAGGGAGAGCUCACACGAUGGCUAAGUUUUGAGUUGUUCUGAAUGCUGCUGAGCCAGUAACAGAGCUGUGUUCACUGUGUUAGUUCGUAGGGGAAAAGGAGGCUGGGUAUGCUGCAGUAUUAGGUCUAGGACACGGUACACAGUUCUCCCAACGGGUAGAUCGCGAGCUACCGGUAGCUCGCAGCCAACGUGUAUGAGUAGCUCACCAAGCAAUUCUGAAAGUACAUGCAUGUUUUUCAUGUGUUCCCAUCGCAAACUUUCAUAAACAAGCUCUUGGCUACUAUUCAACCAAAACCACAUUGACAUUAUCCUACCCCUGGUUAGCCACUAUUGGCUUAAAAAGCCCAAAUUAACACAAUCUGCCAAUUAAUUUCUGGCAAUAUUUCCUUUUGCCUCAGUCUGUCUGCUUGGUAUGUGCAUUUGUCUAUCACUCAGUAUGUUGCCAGUUAGCCGUGCUAGUAAUGAUAACCAUCUUGUGGGUAGACGGACUUUCUGCAAAAACUCAAUUAAAUGUUAACUGCAAAGUAGGCUUACCUGACAAAGAUAUGAUUAUUUUUAUCAAUUGGGUGGCCAUCCUUUUGCAAACGCUGCCAUAACGUGCUGCAGCAGUAAGCCUAACAAACAUCACUACACUGACACAUUCCCCACUUUCUGAAUGUGCAAUUAAAGGGGAGUUGCACAUAAUUUUUUUUCAGACCUCAAAAUUGCUCUUGUGAUUUUUAAAUUCUGAAAUUUCCUUCCCCAAUUACAUUUUCCGUCAAGAUAGAACUGCUGAAGGGGGCGGCGUUGCUAUCUACUGUAGAGAGAGCCUGCAGAGUUCUGUCAUACUAUCCAGGUCUGUGCCCAAACAGUUCGAGCUUCUACUUUUAAAAAUCCGUCUCGCCAGAAAUGAGUCCCUCACUGUUGCUGCUUGUUAUAGACCCCCUCUCAGCUCCAGCUGUGCCCUGGACACCAUAUGUGAAUUGAUUGCCCCUAUCUAUCGUCAGAGUUCGUACUGUUAGGU